CGUGCCGGGCUCUAGCCGCCCAAGAACAGGCCUGCCUGACGCGGCGAGAGGCAGGCAGCCUCUAGCCAGCGGGGACUAGGCUCGUCGGGGUCGACCGCUCGAGCCUAAUGCGGCGGACAACUUUUACCGUUACGACCACCUAGGAGGCUUACCGUACCCUUUGGUUCCCUUCGUGAUAAUGAGUUACACCGUUUGGAACAAACUCUAACUGUGGUUCAUACACGGAUAGUUUGGGUAUCCGGCUCCUCGAAUACCUUAUCAAACGAGUAGGUAUUUGGCACUCUGUUUGCUCUUUCAUCGCUAUUUCUUCUAUGUAUUACAUAAGCUGUUGGCACACCUACGUGAUUCCUGGAACGCCCUCGACUUUGAGGAGGCCGUAGAGGCGGUACUCUUACAAUAAAGAAACUUCCUAUAUUACUACGGACAUGUUUCCUCCUCGAAAUUCCUACACAUGAACCAAAUACUCGAGUACCUAUGACUGGACGUAGUCUAUUAGUUUAGCGGAGUCCCCGAAAGGUUGCUGGUGACGGUUAUAAAAGAAAAAGUCAACGAAGCUCCUGACUUUAUGGAGGUAAGUCGUCUCUAUGAGGUGUCUCUGGAUUUUGGACCCUUGGAUGACCACUUACGUUUGACACUAGACUUCUAUACGCUAAAACCAGAACGUGCAUGUUUGUCAUCAUUUCCGGUCAAAUACUGACUUAUACAGCAGUGGGCGACCAUAUCCCGAGGACUCAACGACGAAACGACGCUGUUGAUGCCGUGAAGGUAACUACAAACCAGACAACCGACGUAGAAACGACUCGAUGAACCGGCGUUCGGAUAAAAGGGGCCCUGUCUCACGGAUUUAGUCGAUUUUGACUAUCAGUUACAAGAACCGUGCUACUCGCUCAGACUGGACCUCAAGUAGCUGUUGGGUUUCCGGGCGUCUAUAUAGUUCUGGGAGGGGAUGUGAGGACCACAAGGUGAACGUUCAUACAUGGGUGUACGUGUGGGAGACCGGUAGCUAGAUAAUGUCUUCUACGAGUAGAAGCUGGGAUGGUUUUCCCAGUCACAAUGGGUCCGGGAACUCGUGGGAAUGUACAGAGGAGACAUACUGGGUUCACGUUUGGGAGGGCGCGUUCACGGGUAGCUAGAGCUGUAUCUACUCUUGUAGUCGAGUCUCUACUAGUCCCUUUACUACACCGUCCUCUACGAAGUGAUGGUGGGACUUCGGCGGUGCCGUCAUUUGUACACUGCUGCUAGAACGUCACGGGACCCUUCUUGGGCCGUCCGAGUGAGGAAAAAAGGAGCUUUUCUGAUGACGCUAAUAGCGUGGAUAAUUCAUUGGUGCUGCACGUCACACCUCUCCAUAGAGGCACAUUUAUACGUCACGCUAUUCUUGGCGUAUACCUAUCAAGAACAAUACCUGGUGAAACCACAUACAUAUGACAACACAACAACAUAUUCGAGUACUUUCUUGACAACUUCGCUUAAGUCAUUCAACAACUAAACACUACCGGGAGGACACAAACAACAACGUCAACCAUAAACUUCGUCUGGA
rnacentral:rRNA from 1 species